CCUUACACGCCGCGUGAAAUAACCAACAAACUGGGAGGCGGUGGAGAUUGGAAUCGGCAUUGUCCGUGCGUAAUUACGCGCCCUUUUAAAAGUCCUCAGGAGUGAGGUGAGCCAAUGCGCAUCAGCUUGCGCAUCUUUGAAUCUUCCCAACGACGCUGUGGACAAUCUCUCUGACACCCCCCUCCCUCACUCCCUCCAUCCUCCUCUGCAAUCCGACGAGGCUUUUCCGCCGCCGAUGGCCGCACAUCGGCAUCCCUGAGAGCCGUCGGUCGCUCCCGCAACAUCCAUCGCGCCCCCUUUUUUUCUUUCCCUCCCUCCAAGAAAACCACUCAUCGGCUUUUGUUUUCCGCCCUGUCCAACGCCAAAUCGAGGAAUCUGCUGCCAUGCUGCGCGCGUCUCUUCACCUCCACCAUCAUCAUUAUUAUCAUUAGUCGAGCUUGUGAUCGACACAAGAUCAUUCAUUUCCCACUCUCCCACCCUUCCAUCACCCUGCCUUUGGAUUUUUAUUUUUAUUUUUUAUUUUUGGAGCGAGACCACGACGGGAUGCGUCCUGGUGCAGUGAUGCUGCUCCUGGUCUUUCUGGGCAACUUGAUGCCGCCCUUCGUCACGGCUCAAAACGCUGGGUUUGUGAAGUCGCCGAUGUCCGAGACGAAGCUCACCGGGGACACAUUUGAGCUCGACUGCGAAGUACGCGGUAACCCCACCCCAGAGAUCCAGUGGUGGUAUUCCGAAAUCAACCGAGCGGACUCGUUCAAGCAACUGUGGGACGGAGCCCGCAAGCGCAGAGUGUCCAUCAACACGGCCUACGGCACCAACGCUGUUAGCGUUCUGGGCACCACGCGCCUCACGCUGGAAGACUCUGGGACCUACGAGUGCCGAGCGAGCAAUGACCCCAGGCGAAACGACCUGCGGCAAAACCCCGCCAACACCUGGAUUCGGGCCCAGGCCACCAUUUCGGUGCUACAGAAACCAAAGAUCAAUGCCUCUGAUCAGAUCAUCCUGCCGGCGGACUCCCCUGGCGUCCCAGUUACUCUACAUUGCAACCUCACCACCGCCCACACCGCACACACGGAGAGCUUCUGGGUGAAGAACGGAAGGGAGAUCGCCAACACGCGGACUGAGCAUCGGACCACAGCGUACAGAAUUGGUAAACCACGGGCAGAUGAUUCUGGGGAAUACAUGUGUGUCUACACAUUUGAAAUGGCUCCAAAUGCAAAUGCAACAAUUGAAGUCAAAGCGAAACCUGUUAUCACCGGCCAUAAACGAAGUGAAAAUAAAAACGAGGGGGAAAACGCCAUGCUUUACUGCAAGUCGGUCGGGUAUCCGCAUCCUACCUGGACGUGGCGUAAAAUGGAAGGGACCUCCUCCACUGACAUCGACAAUUCCACCGGACGCUUCUUCAUCACAAGCCGGGACAACUACACGGAGCUGAACAUCAUAAACCUCGAUAUCGACACAGAUCCCGGGAAGUACGAGUGCAAUGCAUCCAAUGCCAUCGGGACAACUGCCGAAAUCACUAUCCUACGGGUGCGAAGCCAUCUUGCGCCACUUUGGCCGUUCCUCGGUGUUCUGGCGGAAAUUAUCAUCCUCGUCGUCAUCAUCGUCGUGUAUGAGAAACGCAAGAGGCCGGAUGACAUUAUCGAUGGUAAGAGACACCAUUUCUGACUGGGGUAUAACUUGCGAUCUGAUAUGUUGAAAUAACCACUGAGCAAUUAUUCGAUGUGGGCGAUUGAUCUACGACACAUCACACUGUCCAUGAAGAGCUCUUUUCCUAAAUGAGAUAAAAGCCCAAUUGAAAAAUGACUCAUCUUGCCAUGUCAUUCAUGUAACUUUUGGUGAACAUGUUCUGAGCCAAUUCAUUGAUUACACAGGUUCAAAUUCAGGUUGGUCACGUUUGGAAGAGAACUCUUCAUAUGUGACCAGUGGAAAAUAGGAAAGGUCUUUAUUCGCAGCUAUCGAAAAAAACUUUUUAGGAAAACGCAUGAGCAUUUUGCAUAAUAAUAGGAUGAUGAAACACUGUCAUGUCCAAUUGUUUUUUUUUUCGCAAUGUACAAACACACACAAGUGGCAGUCAUUAGAUUUAGCAUCCGACUGGAAUUGUGUACUAUAAGUCCAUCUGUUAUCUGUCACCAUUGAACAUGAUGCAUUUGAAGUUGCUUACAUAGACGUGCGCUUUAGAGAGCAUGCAUGCUUUUUUUCUCAGCUUUGAAUGAUAGCAUGAACAAGUUUGACAAAUGUUAUGGUGUUAUAAAUGCUUCAGAGAAUUGGGCCUUUGCUGACUUAGAUUGGAGAGAAAAUGCUCAAUUUUUUACCCUGCUGAAGUAUGUGUUGUGACUUUCAUCAAGAUCUAAUGUGUCGAACCGGAACUGAAAGUAUUGCCUCACGUAAUACCCAUGCGAGACACAUGCAAUGAGAGGUGCAUGAGAGGUGAACCAACCUUUUGAAGAACUGUUGUUCCUUUUUGAGUGACAGCCAUCGUAACAAUGAUAUUAAUAAUGUAUAUACAGUAUAUCAACUCAGAUGUGCAACUGAAUUGGUGACUAUUUUUCCCUUCCCCUUUCGAAACGGCACCAUAAUCUAAAUGGGUGAUGAUGAGCCAGUUGGACCAAUGAAAACCAAUUCUACGAACAACCACAAAGACAAAAACGUCCGUCAUAGAACCACAAAAUAAGCAAUCGACUCAUAUGAGAUGAUGAAACUGCAGUUUUUUUGGCUACAUGGCAGCAGCCUAUCUUGAGAGAGAGAGAGGGGGAAAAAAUACAAGCAUAUCUGGUCUCUUUUUACAAGAAACAAUAUCAGCACAACACUGGCAACAAGGAGCAAACAAUGUGGGGAGUCUUAAAGCAUGCCUUGUCGCGUGGAGAUGUCAGGAUGACGAACUGUGACUGCAAAUCACUGCAGAGGUGUACGCAUUUUUCCCCCCGAUGUGAUGUUGAGGUCUCCUUAAUUGAUUUUAAUCAUGGCCCUCAGAUGAGCCGAUCCUGCCCUUUUGUAUGACAUAUCAUGUAAAUGCAUGCAAAAUAAUUACGCAAUAGGAUACCCAGAAUAGACAUCUUCUGUGUCCCUCAUGUGGCUUUUGUUUUGCAUCCCAAAAGGUUUUUUAUAGAGUCAUCCUUAUAUAUAUAUAUAUAUAUAUAUAUAUAUAUAUAUAUAUAUAUAUAUAUAUAUGUAUAUAUAUAUAUAUACAUUUUUCUUCUUGAACAUUUGUACAGCAUAUUAUGGUCAUUUAAUGUUUGAUUUUGUGACAACAAGUUCACUUUUAACAGAGCUUUUAUCGUGAAGCAAGGGCUUCAGUGACUGGCAGUAUUUAAAAUUUAAUGGAGAGUGAAUACAGAAAAUGAAUAAUGUGUGUUUAUCAAACUAAAUAUCAAUGGUAUGUGUAUAACUUUAAUUUCAUUUUGAGAGUAACUUAGAGUGUCUUGUAUAUGUUGCAGUAUGAGUGUUCAAAGGAUAGGAAAUCUGUAAAAAACAAACAAAAAAGGUAUUUUUUUUUAAACAUUUUCGAAUUUAUUUUUAUUUUCUAAUUUUAUUUGACUAUAUAGCAUGGCUAUAAUCCUAUGCAAAAUGUAUUCUUGAAUAGAUUAAAUGGAGGGCAGUUUGUUUUAAACAGUCAAGCUUUAAUAUCGUGGGAUCCCUUGGAUGCUGGCAUAGCGACAUUAACUGCUGUAGCUGCAUGACUCCUCCUUUCAAUACAAUGUAUGAUGAUGUGUGUUGCGGUGGGAAACGGACCUGAACUGAUGUGAGAACAGAAGGAAUAGAGUAUAUAGCCACGAUGAAACAUAUGAAUCAGACCACUAUUUUUUUUCUGAAUAAAAUAACAAAAAACAAAAAAAAAAA